GGGGUUGUGGCUCAGUGGUAGAGUGCUUGCCUAGCCACGUGCGAAGCCCUGGGUUCGAUCCUCAGCAACCAUA
rfam:Ictidomys tridecemlineatus contig005646, whole genome shotgun sequence.